CCGUGCUAGGCGGGGAGCUAGCGGUUCCCUGUACCCGCAAUCCGCUACAGCGGGGCUGAACUCCCGCCCGAGACGCUGCUCUGCAGGGCCGGGCCGGCGCACGCGGCGACGACGACCGGGUCCCGCGCAACGAGAUCUGACCAACCCCGCCAGGUCCGGAAGGAAGCAACGGUACGUCAGGGCUCUCGUGUGCCGCGGGGAGACCUGGUCCGAGCCGGCGGCGCCGAAGCCGCCUGGAGGGCGGUCGACGACGGCGGGUGCACGG
rnacentral:SRP_RNA from 1 species